rnacentral:rRNA from 1 species
AUGGGUCGUCUGUCUCUGAAUCUCAUAAUGCACGAUCUAAGGGAUAGCAUCUAUUCUCUGUACCGCAUGGACAUCCGACACCUUUUCUACGAAACAGCAGAAAUUGCAGUGCACGCAGCAGAAGAUGCAAAAGCCAAGAAGAAGAAUAAACUAUCAAUGAUAGAGUCCUGGAACGAUCUGCGUAAGCCAGUCGCCCAUUUCAAAGCAUCUAAUUUCUUCACUCUACUGAGAGAAAACUCCAUCAUGUUGGCUGACUCAUUUGGUCGUACAACACUCUUAGACAUUGACUUCAAGUCCGUGGUACCCAUGCCCCCUAUGCCUAAUGGCAAGGGACCCAAUUGCAUCUGUUUCUCAAUACCUAAUCCUGAGCCCUUAAAAUCUUAUUCCCAGUGCCUCUUUGUCCUGGAUCUGGUUCCAGGUAGCAGUACCAAUUCCUCCAGCUUUGAGUUCCUGACAUACUUAGGGAGUCGGGACUCCUCCCGCCCCCUGGUGUCUUCCCAUUUCCAUUUGAAUUGGUUAUGGCAUGAUUUGCCAGUGCCAGCGUUCGCAGAGCACCCUGCCAACAGUAGAGCCGCCAUGAACUAUUCUUACAUGUUGCUUGACAGUUCUACAAUGUGUUUAUCCUCCAGUGAAGAGGGCAUAGGCACCUAUACCUUUGAUAUGGUUAACCACAAGUGGUCACGUGCUGGUAACUGGGUGCUGCCCUUCUGUGGCAAAGCAGAGUAUGUCCCUGAGCUCAAGCUUUGGUUCGCCCUCUCUCCUAGCGCCCCCCACAGCUUGUGUGCUCUGGACUUCCCUGCCAUGGAUUUUGAUUUGCCACCUGAUUUGCUGCGUACUUGGGAUUGUCUCCACCUGCAUGAUGAGACUCCAUACAAGCGCCACCUUGUUAACCUGGGCUCAGGUAAGUUCUGUGUGGUCUCGUUCUUCAAGACCUUUAAAACCAAAUAUGUGGCAGAAAAUAUGGAAGAUGAGUCUGCUGUGUUCACUGGCCUCGAGGUGCGCCGCUGCAACAACAGCGAGGGUGCUGUACGGAUGAUCAAACACAUGUCUAAACGUUACACCUUUGGAAGGUUUGGCAUCCAGUCCAUUCUCUGA